rnacentral:rRNA from 1 species
UACAGAGGAAGCUAACGUUGUCCGGAUUUACUGGGCGUAAAGGGUUUGUAGGCGGCCAAUUAAGUCAGUUGUGAAAUCGCUCCGCUCAACGGAGCAAUUGCUUCUGAUACUGAUUGGCUUGAGUGCAGGAAGGGUAAAUGGAAUUUCCGGUGUAGCGGUGGAAUGCGUAGAUAUCGGAAAGAACACCAGUGGCGAAGGCGGUUUACUGGCCUGUAACUGACGCUGAAAAACGAAAGCCAGGGGAG